rnacentral:rRNA from 1 species
UACGGAGGGGGCAAGCGUUAUUCGGAAUUAUUGGGCGUAAAGAGCUCGUAGGCGGCUCAGUAAGUCAGGUGUGAAAACUCCAGGCUCAACCUGGAGACGCCACCUGAUACUGCUGUGGCUAGAGUCCGGUAGGGGAGCAUGGAAUUCCUGGUGUAGCGGUGAAAUGCGCAGAUAUCAGGAGGAACACCGGUGGCGAAGGCGGGUCUCUGGGCAGUUACUGACGCUGAGGAGCGAAAGCGUGGGGAGCGAACAGG